rnacentral:rRNA from 1 species
UACGAAGGGUGCAAGCGUUAAUCGGAAUUACUGGGCGUAAAGCGUGCGUAGGUGGUUCGUUAAGUCUGUUGUGAAAGCCCUGGGCUCAACCUGGGAAUGGCGAUGGAUACUGGCGAGCUAGAGUACGGUAGAGGAUGGUGGAAUUCCCGGUGUAGCGGUGAAAUGCGUAGAGAUCGGGAGGAACAUUAGUGGCGAAGGCGGCCAUCUGGACCAGUACUGACGCUGAGGCACGAAAGCGUGGGGAGCAAACAGG